UUUUUUAUUUAAUUUUUAUGUUAUUUUUUGUAAAAUGUUUUAAUUUUUGUUGUUUUUUAUUUGUAGUAUCAAAAAUUUGUUUUUUGAACUGGAUUAGUACCCAGGUAAUCGAGAUUUAUUAAUUCGGGAGUAAAGUUUUGUUUAAACCGAAAAAAUAUUGACUGACCUUAGAUUUUUCUUUGGAACAUGUGUUUUAUGGAGAGCCCUCCUUUUUAGUAAAUUUUGUUGGCGCAUGUAUGAUUGUUUAGUUUUUAUUUUAUUUUGUAAUGCUUUGUGUGUUGGCUUUUAAAACAGAUAUAUACUUGGCUUAUGAAUUUAUUUUUCAUGUGUUACUAUUAUAAAUUUUUUUUGGAUUAAAUUUUUAUUUUUUUUUGAAAUUGGAAAAGAAAGUAAUUUUUUUUUAAKGUUUUGAUGAAUUU
rnacentral:rRNA from 1 species